rnacentral:rRNA from 1 species
GACGAACGCUGGCGGCGUGCUUAACACAUGCAAGUCGAACGGAAAGGCCCUGCUUUUGUGGGGUGCUCGAGUAGCGAACGGGUGAGUAACACGUGAGUAACCUGCCCUUGACUUUGGGAUAACUUCAGGAAACUGGGGCUAAUACCGGAUAGGAGCUCCUGCUGCAUGGUGGGGGUUGGAAAGUUUCGGCGGUUGGGGAUGGACUCGCGGCUUAUCAGCUUGUUGGUGGGGUAGUGGCUUACCAAGGCUUUGACGGGUAGCCGGCCUGAGAGGGUGACCGGCCACAUUGGGACUGAGAUACGGCCCAGACUCCUACGGGAGGCAGCAGUGGGGAAUAUUGCACAAUGGGCGGAAGCCUGAUGCAGCAACGCCGCGUGCGGGAUGACGGCCUUCGGGUUGUAACCCGCUUUCGCCUGUGACGAAGCGUGAGUGACGGUAAUGGGUAAAGAAGCACCGGCUAACUACGUGCCAGCAGCCGCGGUGAUACGUAGGGUGCGAGCGUUGUCCGGAUUUAUUGGGCGUAAAGGGCUCGUAGGUGGUUGAUCGCGUCGGAAGUGUAAUCUUGGGGCUUAACCCUGAGCGUGCUUUCGAUACGGGUUGACUUGAGGAAGGUAGGGGAGAAUGGAAUUCCUGGUGGAGCGGUGGAAUGCGCAGAUAUCAGGAGGAACACCAGUGGCGAAGGCGGUUCUCUGGGCCUUUCCUGACGCUGAGGAGCGAAAGCGUGGGGAGCGAACAGGCUUAGAUACCCUGGUAGUCCACGCUGUAAACGGUGGGUACUAGGUGUGGGGUCCAUUCCACGGGUUCCGUGCCGUAGCUAACGCUUUAAGUACCCCGCCUGGGGAGUACGGCCGCAAGGCUAAAACUCAAAGGAAUUGACGGGGCCCCGCACAAGCGGCGGAGCAUGCGGAUUAAUUCGAUGCAACGCGUAGAACCUUACCUGGGUUUGACAUGGAUCGGGAGUGCUCAGAGAUGGGUGUGCCUCUUUUGGGGUCGGUUCACAGGUGGUGCAUGCCUGUCGUCAGCUCGUGUCGUGAGAUGUUGGGUUAAGUCCCGCAACGAGCGCAACCCUUGUUCACUGUUGCCAGCACGUUAUGGUGGGGACUCAGUGGAGACCGCCGGGGUCAACUCGGAGGAAGGUGGGGAUGACGUCAAGUCAUCAUGCCCCUUAUGUCCAGGGCUUCACGCAUGCUACAAUGGCUGGUACAGAGAGUGGCGAGCCUGUGAGGGUGAGCGAAUCUCGGAAAGCCGGUCUCAGUUCGGAUUGGGGUCUGCAACUCGACCUCAUGAAGUCGGAGUCGCUAGUAAUCGCAGAUCAGCAACGCUGCGGUGAAUACGUUCCCGGGGCU